rnacentral:rRNA from 1 species
UACGUAGGGGGCAAGCGUUGUCCGGAUUCAUUGGGCGUAAAGCGCGGGCAGGCGGCCCGUUAAGUCGGCCGUGAAAGCGCCGGGCUCAACUCGGCGAGGACGGGCGAGACUGACGGGCUCGAGGUUGGCAGAGGGCGGUGGAAUUCCGGGUGUAGUGGUGGAAUGCGUAGAGCUCCGGAGGAACACCAGUGGCGAAGGCGGCCGCCUGGGCCAAUACUGACGCUGAGACGCGAAAGCGUGGGGAGCGAGCCGG